UUGGUACAGGCUCAUAAUAACUCAUAAUAUAAUAAUAGACCGGUGCCGUUAUUUGGAGCGGCAUAUGGCUCUGGAGGUAGAGCGGGUCGGCUGGUGACCGGAAAGUUGCUUGUUCGAUCCCCGGCUCCUCUUGCUGAGUGUCGAGGUGUCCCUGAGCAAGAUAGCUCGCCUUGAUUGCUCAUGACGAGCUGGUCGUCGUGAGCAAACCAGCUCUUUGGUCGUCGCCCUGCGUGGUUGACUUCUCCGUCGGUGUUUGAAUGUGUUUGAAUGGGUGAAUGUUUGGCAUUGUAAAGCACUCUGAGUUGCCACUGGUUAGAAAAGCGCUGUAUAAAAGCUGUGCAUUUGCCAUCGGCACAGCGAGGCUGUUUUCUGUCGCUUCUGUCACUGUAUAUUGCCUAUAUAGGCCAACAUUUGGAUUAUAGGCCUAAGUGGGAAUGUGUUUAUAUGGUCAACCAUAGCCUUCUAGUUGUUAUGGAUUAAUUUAUUAGUUGAUGUAAUCUUAUGGAUGACCAUUUUUGUCGACCCUGGAUUGUCGCCUUGUUUUCCUAGUUUUUUAGUUAUAACUAUAAGAUUUCUUAAAGUUAUAGGCCUAACUAUCUAGGAUAGCUCUAGGAUAGUUAUAACUAUGCCUAUAUGAUGGUUAUAACCAUAUGAUAGCUUAACUAUAUUAUAUAGGUCUACAUUAUGACACUGUUCUCCUGAGAGUCAGAAUCAGCAGUGCAUGACCAUCACAAAGUGAUUUUGUGUUUCAUCACUUUAUUUUGUUAGUUUGUUGUUGCAAACAUAUUUACUUUAUUAUUCAUAUUUUAGUUUGUCUGCCUUGUUGUCCUGUCCCAACCCUGCCACCUGUGAGGUUCAUUUAAUCUAAUCCUCUCACUACAACACAAUUAACUAAUCCUUAAUCUGUUCUCUCGUAGCAGGCCGCCUCACCACAACCUGCUGCCCUUCUCGUCCUCUAGUAAGGGAUAGGAUUAACACUUAAGCGUAGAAACUGAGUCCGGUCUCUGCUCAAGGGAAGAGAUUUCAGCUGUGAACCAUACCCAUUAAGACAGGAUAUAUCAUGUAUCAUUCAGGCUAUAUAAUAGAUGACAACUUUGUAAGAUGUAUAGACUGUUUAUCCUGUAGUCUACCCAUAUCAUAUAGCAACAGAAUAUAGUGACAUAAUACCAGUCAUGCUUUCUAAAUGCACUACUAGAACUGAAAAGGAAUUACAGAGGAGUACAGAGGAGAACAAAUUUCAAUCCAUCGGAUGGUUAAGGUUUGCUGAAUAGCAUUACCUUAAUAAGCACAUAUUAUAAAUUACAUCACAUAUCCCACAAAUGACAUCACAUAUCCCACAAAUGACAUCACAUAGCAAUAAAAACAUCACAUAUAACUACAUUAAUAACAUUACAUAGCUACAAAUAGCAUCACAUAUCACUACAUUAUUUACAUCACAUAUAAUUACAUUGAUAACAUAACACAUCACUUCAUUAAUAACAUCACGUCACUACAAUAAUGACAAACAAUUACUGCGAUAACAAUGCAUAUCAAUGCUUUAACAUUAACGUCCUCAUUCAGGACAUCACAUUAGUAAUAUCAUCCCGACAUACAGUACAUUGUAGGAUGCUGUACAUUAAUAGCAUACAGUAUAGCAGACAUCACCUAGACUCUGCAUAGCCACCCCCUCUCGCCCCUCCUAAGCACUUAUUGUAUGUUAUAUGUCCUGGCACUUAAUGUACGCACUUAUUGUCUGUCAUACUUAGCGAUAGUACUUAGUUGUGUAGCUUCUUAUCCUAGCUAUCCUUGUUGUAUACAGGUAAUGGGUUUACUUAGGUUUUAUGAACAUCAUUACUUUACCGACAGCAAUAUAUUGUUUCACCUUCUUCUGACAAAUGUACUUAUUGUAAGUCGUUUUGGAUAAAAUCGUCUGCUAAAUGCCCUAAACAUAAAAUGCAAAUGUACAUUCAUUUAUCGUACAUCAUCAAUAGCAUAGAGUGAGAGCUCCGAUGCCUUGUUCUGGGGCCUACAGCAGUACAUGCUUUUUGGAACGGACUGACUGUGACAUCACAGUCAUUGUUUGGUGAGGGAGGUCCCUGGUCAGCACCAGAACGCCCCAAUGACCUUGUUUACACCAAGCGGCAGUCAUGCCCGCCUGUUUGUGAGGCCCAUGGCUAACAUGGAGUUCCUUGAACUGCCCCAGGUGGUUCACGGUAGGUGGAUCAGAGGGACCCACGUCCAAUCUUAGUGAACAGGAAGAUCUUAAUGUUAUGCGUUUUCAAAGGUCCACGUUGACGGCUAUGUUGAAGUUAUUAAGGAUUGAAUAUUCAUUAUUUUUGUCCAUAGACUAGUACAAGGUGUUCACCCAUUCCAAACGUCAAUGUGACAGAAAUGGAAAGUUUUCACUGAAAAUUGUAUACAAUGGCAAGGCUUUGAAGAAGGCGCUAGGUCACAGCCCCUAGCUGAGGAUGUGUGUGUGUGUUUUGUGUUGUGUGUAUUUUGUGCUGUGUUUGUUUUGUUGCAUCAGUUGUGUAAGCUACAGCCAAAUUGAGGAUAUAACUAGGGCAGGGGGAUGUGUAGAUAACAAAAACAUGCUUUUUAUGUUAUGAUUAUAACACAAAAUCCAUAUAUUCCGGAAUCCAUAUAUUCAGAUAAUUAGAUACUGCAGGUCUCUCUCCCUAACCCCUCGCUCAUCUCCCUCUCUCCUUCUCUCUGACUGUGCAGAUGGAUGUGUAGAGGGAACAAACUGGUAGCCAUCUUAUAUUUAGAGUGCUGACUCACUCUGGGGAGCCAGCAGGAUGUGUGUUGUCUUGUAUCCAUGGUAAUGCAUCUCUGUCAUUAUAGCAGUAAGAAAAAAUACCCACAUCUAACUAUGUUCCCCAGAGAGACAACUAACUCCUUGAUCCCUAGAGAGAUAACUAACUCCUUGAUCCCUAGAGAGACUACUAACUCCUUGAUCCCUAGAGAGACAACUAACUCCUUGAUCCCUAGAGAGACAACUAACUCCCCAACCAGAAGUAAUACUGGGCCAAACUUUGCGUUCUCAGAGGACGUUUAUUUAACAAUUUAUAUGCAUUCUCAUACACACAAUGAAGUUGUGGUGAAACCAACCAUAAUAGGAGCCCAUUAAUGUUGACUCACCUAAUGAGAAGGCUGAUGUUGCAUGCCAGACAUCAAAUGCUUGAUGUCUGGCUUAAGUAAUGAGAGUCAGUUUUAGAUCAGGAUAGAGAGAUACAACAUCGGAAAAGGCAUCAGAAACCACACAGCUCUGUUGGAAAGAUCGGGAUACUCAGAAGCAUUACGAAGUCAAAGGGUACUUUGUCAGCCUGGCCCACAUGUCGAUUUGUUUAAUUAUGCAAAAUCGCCAAAUAGCUCAAAACGCAACACUGUCCAAAAUAUUUACAGCUCAUAUCGCUCUUGCGUUUUCACGUGUAUGUUCACUAGGACCACCCACGCCGACGAGAGACAUCUACAUUCCGAUUGGCUGGCGGUCAUUUACAGCCGAAAGCUACUAGCUCAUUUGCAUAGAGUUGAGCUGUUUUCAACUCUCAUUUACAGCUUUACAGCUUUAAAGCUAUCGAUCAAGCGUUUUAUCGCUCCAAUUGCUUUAUCACUCAUGUGAAUAAGUGAACGGGCGUUCAUUGCUCAAAACGCUUUACAGCUUAAAUUGGUGUGAACGCACAGUAAUAUAGGCAUGGCGUAACAUCUUUGUCAAUGUCAAUGUCAAUGUCAAUGUCAAUUUUAUUUAUAUAACGCAUUUACAGACGGCUUAGCCGCACCAAAGUGCUUUACAGUAAAGUGCAAUAUUGCAGGAAGGCACAAAAAACAAACAAAAACAUAUUUGUUAUGUCUGUCGAUUUAUCCAACUUUAUGGCAUACAAAUAACUCUGGUAUGCUCGCAAUCAGCUGGUCUAACACUUUCUCGCCAUAUUGUCUAUUUGGGAUGCACCAAAAUGAAAAUUCUUGGCCGAAGCCGAAACCGAAUAUACUGAAACAGUUGGCCGAAAGCCGAAACCGAAUACCGAAUGUGGCAUUUGCUGUUUUUCAUUCAAUUUGCUUUAAUUUUUCACCAUUGCAUAAAUCAAACAAUUAAAAGUCCUUUAUAAACUUUUUUGUCUUGAUUUUCAAUAAAAAAAAAUCAAUUACAAAUUUUAUACAAAUUAUUUAUUUAAUACUGAACGAUUUCUAACAUUCCAGCAGACCUUAUAGCAAGAAUUUAAGAACAAUGUAGCUUUCAAAUAAAUGAGUAAAUUAUUACUAUUAUUAUUUAUUUUUUUAACCAAAAAAAAAAAGUAUUUUUUUCUGCCUUUUUACUCCUUCGGCCGAAACCGAAAAUUAUGUUUUGGGCCAUUUUCGGUGGCCGAAUUUUCAGUGCAACCCUAUUGUCUAUCUUGAGUUUGACUUAGUUAUCAGACAAUGAGAUUAGUUGAUUGGCUUGCAUGACUUCUCUCCCAACAUCUCCCAAACUAUCUAUUUUUUGGCGGUUUUGUUGUAUGGGGCUCACUAGACUUGCCAAUGAGCCUUUGCAUUCUAUAUGACCAUGCAUGACAUUUACUUAUUACUUUCUUCUUACCCUGAUACUCCUUCAGUUUACUAUUGAAACUCCCUGUCCCUAGAUAUAGAGACAGAAAACUCCCUGUUCCCUUGAUAGAGACAACAAACUCCCUGUUCCCUAGAGAGAGAGAGAGAUGACAAACUCCUUGUUCCCUAGAGAGAGAUAGACAACAAACUCCCUGUUCCCUAGAGAGAGAGACAACAAACUCCCUGUUCCCUAGAGGGAGACAACAAACUCCCUGUUCCCUAGAGAGAGAGAGAGACAACAAACUCCCUGUUCCCUUGAUAGAGAGACAAAAAACUCCCUGUUCCCUAGAGAGAGAGAGAGACAACAAACAAGCUGUUCCCCAGAGAGAGAGACGACAAACUCCCUGUCCCCUAGAGAGAGAUAGACAACAAACUCCCUGUUCCCUAGAGAGAGAGACAACAAACUCCCUGUUCCCUAGAAAGGGAGACAACAAACUCCCUGUUCCCUAGAGCGAGGGACAACACACUCCCUGUUCCCUAGAUAGAGUGACAACAAACUCCCUGUUCCCUUGAUAGAGAGACAACAAACUCCCUGUUCCCUAGAGAGAGAGAGGCAACAAAAUGCUCCCUAGAGAGAUAGACAACCAACUCCCUGUUCCCUAGAGAGACAACAAACCCCCUGUUCCCUAGAGAGACAACCAACUGCCUGUUCCCUAGAUAGAGAGGGACAACAAAGAGAGAGAGAGAGAGAGAGAGAGAGAGAGAGAGAGAGAGAGAACCAGCUCCCUGUUCUCUAGAGAGAGACAAAAAAAACUCCCUGCCCCCUAGAGAGACAAAAACUCCCUGUUCCCUAGAGAGCGAUAUUGAACAAACUCCCUGUUCCCUAGAGAGAGAGAGAGAGAGAGAGAGAGAGAGAGAACAAACUCCCUGUUACCCAGAGAGAGAGGGAGACAACAAACUCCCUGCUGCCUAGAGAGACAAAAAACUCCCUGUUCCCUAGAGAGACAACAAACUCUUUAUUCCCUUAUAGAAAAAAAUAGAAUUAGAAACGGAGAGGAUGAGACAGGAAACAAGUCAGAGAAAGACAGAGUUAGGGAGACAGGGCAAAUAGAGACAAGAAUAGAUUGAGCUACAGACAGUGGUUUGCGUACGGAAAUAGAACUAGCUGGAAUUUGGUAAAAGAAAACCCAUCCUGACACACACAGACAAACUCUCUCCGUUGCUCACAUCACAACACAAACACAUGAGUGCAAUUGUACAAAAACAAUCAGCUGAAGGAUUAAACUAAACUACAAGACCUCACCCACUGUUGUUCGCUCUCUGUUACCACGGAAA